GUCGCAACUUGAUGACGUAUGCGCAUUCCUUGUCCAAUAAAACAGCCGUUAUCCAUGUCGCUGCUACACCUACCGGAAAGGCUAGGCUAACUAAACGAUAGAGGAAGAUUGUGUUGAAGAUCACAUCUCAUUAUCGUAUCACCCCGAUUCACAGAAGUCCUUGAGUCCAAAAUGACGUACAGGAGAGACAGGAGUAUACGAGAGGUGUAUGAUGAACGCUUUUUAACAGAGAGACCGGGUCCGUACCCACGGGCAGCUGGGGCAGCAGAGAGGAGGGGCCCCUUUAGCAGGCCAGAGGACGACUAUGGCCGCGGCGGGUACGAAUACGAAGGAGGUCCACGCUUCUUCCCAAAUGGAGGAGGCCCACGAAAUUAUCAUGAAGAUCAGAGGGGCUACCAUGGUGACAGCCUUCAUUUCCCUGCUGAACGCAGAGCUGUUCCACCUUCAAGAAGGGAGGACUAUCCUUACAGAGUACCCAGGGAAGACCAACAACACACAGGACGGCCUUUGGAGUUUGGCGCCCGUGCAGCAGCACCACCUCAUAACGUGCGAAACCAGGGCAUCUACCCAGCACCCAGAGCGCUCCCAGAGAGCGGGGAAGACACACUCGUGCAAGCCAUCCUCAACCUGGACAGAGGGGAGGACAGAGACCUCUACAGGAGAAAGGCAGCCCCGUUCCCUCCACUCAGAGAGCGGUCUCCUGUGCGCCGCGAGGUGGCCCGCUCCCCCCACAGUCGCUCCGGCUCCAGUGUCAGCAGCAGAGGCUACUCACCAGACAGAACCAAGAGCCUGCCGUUUCCCUCACAGCAAGGCAAGAGUGUGGACGGUCCAGAGGGUCACGCAGGUGUUUCUGAGCACCUUUGGGGGGCGCACUAUCCUCAACAGAGUGGACAUGAAACUUUCGACAAAAUUCCUGGCCUGUCAAGAGAAGGCUCCCCACACAGCGCAACCUCAAACAAGGAGGAGAACCAUCCUCCAGAAGGAGUAAAAGAGGAGCCACUGGUGGCUCCAGUCGUGGAGGAAAUCCAAAAGUCGACUAUAGACAACUUUCAAGAGCGACGGGCCCUGGCCAUCGCAGCCAAAGCUCAGGAGAUAGAGAAGGUGUACCGUCAGGACUGUGAGACAUUUGGCAUGGUGGUAAAGAUGCUGGUGGCUAAAGACCCCAACCUGGAGAAGCAGCUGCAGGUUCCCCUAAGAGAGAAUCUCGGGGAGAUCCGCGAACGUUGCCUGGAGGACCUCAAACACUUCAUCAACGAGCUGGAUGAGGUGGUCCGGCAGCCAGAACCUUCCGUCUGUGACUCGACCACCACGUCGGCGUCCCUGACGGGUCAUAAACUCUCAAAGACAGGAGUCAAUCACAGCUCGUCUUACUGACACAUUGGCCAUCUGCUCUACGUGAGACUGAGCAUGGAAGGAUUGACUGCUGAACAUGGUGGAUAUCUCAGAAUACAUUUUGGAUUGCUGGACUUGAACCGAUUCUACAGCAACCUGAAGAACAACUUUACAUGGAGAGGAUGCAGUGUUGCAUUAUGCAGCAUGUGAGGAUGAGCAGUGUUAGAUUUUGAACAGACAGUUUUUUUUUUACCUAAAAGAUGUUAAUUAUAAAAUAAGUUGUUUUUCUGUCAAAUGAUGGCAAAAAAAACAGUGUCUAUUUAACGUCUCACAUCACCGUGGAAAUGGUUAACAGGGGUUUUGUUAUUUAACCUAUUUUGAUAAAAAUGUUGUUGAGAAUAGACAGUGAGUCCUGCAGCAUGAUCACACUUUUCUAUAAGAAAAGUCAGCUAAGACAAUGUUUUGUUUUGUAUUUUUUUUUUUGUUAUGCACAUUUUGAAGCAGUCAGAUGUAUGACUUGGUGCUGCUAAAUUUACAGUUCUACAUCCUUGUAUAAAUGUGUAUUGUGCAGACAUGCCAGUUUGGUUACCUUUUCAUUGUGUUUGUCUCAUUUUGCCUUUUCCAAACUUUAUAUUCUAUCUCCCUCCCAGAAAAACCUGCACAAGGCUUGAUUACUUUGAUGGCAUUGAGACAAAGCUUUGCACAAACUGAAGUGUCUCUGAAGGUUGUAGUAAAGUGAUUUCUUAUAACUUUA